rnacentral:rRNA from 1 species
GGAAUAUUGGUCAAUGGGCGCAAGCCUGAACCAGCCAUGCCGCGUGCAGGAAGACGGUCCUAUGGAUUGUAAACUGCUUUUAUACAGGAAGAAACCUCCCUACGUGUAGGGACUUGACGGUACUGUAGGAAUAAGGAUCGGCUAACUCCGUGCCAGCAGCCGCGGUAAUCCGGAGGAUCCAAGCGUUAUCCGGAAUCAUUGGGUUUAAAGGGUCCGUAGGCGGGAUAAUAAGUCAGCGGUGAAAGUCUGUGGCUCAACCAUAGAAUUGCCAUUGAUACUGUUGUUCUUGAGUGUUUAUGAAGUGGUUAGAAUAUGUAGUGUAGCGGUGAAAUGCUUAGAUAUUACAUGGAAUACCGAUUGCGAAGGCAGAUCACUAAUAAAAUACUGACGCUGAUGGACGAAAGCGUAGGUAGCGAAC